rnacentral:rRNA from 1 species
GAUGGUUUAGUGAGGUCUUCGGACCGGCGGUAAGCGGGACGUCUUCGGUGUCGGUCUUGCCGAACGCUGGGAAGAUGACCAAACUUGAGCAUUUAGAGGAAGCAAAAGUCGUAACAAGGUUUCCGUAGGUGAACCUGCGGAAGGAUCAUUA